AAAUGUAUUAAUUUAGGUAAUUUUUCCUUUUCGCACCCCAUGAAAGAGAAAAGAGUGUGUGUCUCUUUUUCUUCGUCGCGCAUAUGAACCCAAAAUCUCGAUCCAGGCCAGCAACCCCUCUUGUUUCUCCUUCUCAAACAUGAACAGCAAUGGACAAACCAUGAAUGAAGUUGAUUGACCCCUACGCUUCUCCACUCUCCUCGUGGGUGAGGUUCCAUCGUCGCCAAGACAAAGACACAUACCUCUUCCGAGGCUGAUUUCACAGGAUUCGGCUGUUGUUUUGUGAAAAGAGCAGCAGCUUUCCCAUCCCUAUGGAAAAAUUCAAAUUUUGGGCAAGAAAACUCCAAUUCCAAUUUUACACUCCCCCCAAUUCCUAAGCCUAGUUUUUUCCCUAUAUAAUAUAUCUCUUAUGUAAUUUGAAGAGGGGGCUAUUUUUUUCUCUUUGGUAAGGGUGACUUUUAGCUGGAAGAAAAUAUUAUAGAACAGUUGGGUAGAGUUAGAGAUUCUUUUAGUCAUAACAAGAGCAUACAAAUAAAAGAAAGAAAUUGUUCGAGUUUCACCAUCAUAUAACAAAUACAACCAAAUACAUAUUUUCCUUCGAUAUGUUGUGAGUUACCGCAAGUUGUCAAAUUUCUACAGUGAGUGUUUUAUCGAAGUCGCGUGAGGUUUGUUUUGUCCCCGUUUGCUGCAUCUUAAAAGGUAAAUAUCAUUACUACUCGUGUCCUUCAUUUCGUAAGGUGUAGGUUGUUCAAUGCUGAAGAUAUCUAAGUUGAUUGAAAUGAUAAAAUUUUGAAAUAUCUUCAUUAACAGAAAAUCGUGAAAUUAGUAGUGCAUCUUUAUUCUUUUAUAUAUUAUCCUUGUUUUGUUUGGGUAGAAGCUUUUAUGACUCUUGGUAUGUUCUUUUAUUUUUCGCCUUCCUAUUUUCUUACAGUUUCACAACUAGUCUUGUGUUUGGUGGUGAAUCAUAUUUCGGGUUAUGCUCUGAAUGUAGCCUGGUUGUCUGUUCAGAUUGAUGUAUUUUUCUUACCCUUUAUUACAAAAAUGUACAAUAUGUCUUUGUCAUCUUGGUGAUUUAAUGAUAAUUUUUGCCCCCUUGUGUCUGUUUGUGUUCUUCACAGAUUUGUAUACUCGCUUUAAGUCUUGUGUUGUUCUUUUUGGGUUAUGCGUUCUACUUUGUUUGUGCUCAUUCUCUCAUUCUAUUAAGAGUUAACUCUUUCACUUCCACGCUCAUGUUUUCUUGUGUUUGUCUUUGUUUAUAUUCCUCCAUUCUAGUAUAUAUGUAUAGAGUAUUGCCAAAGUGACUCAGUUUUUCUUUAACAUUUUCCCAUCUAAAAAGCCCUUCAUGUCUAGUUGAAGAUGCUACGUAUGUUAGUUGCCUCCCUCUGUAAAAACCAAGCAUUAUUGUAUGUUAAUUUUUCUCACAUCCCCCUUUGUUUUCAGUAUAUUUCUAUGUUUGUUCAGUGUAGCAUAUUUCAUCUUCUGUUGGUUGCAAUAUAUUUAGCGUUAAAUAAGUUUUUUUGUAAUGAUAAGGCACUAUGAUUCGGGUUGUCUUCCGUAUAUCUAUUGACGAUAAUUGAUUGGUUCGGAUUAGAGUUGUGAGGCCAGGUUAAAUCAUAUGCUAUUGCACAUUAUUCCCAUUUUUAAACAAGUUUCCCACACAUUUCAUGAUCGACUAUUAUGCAUAUAUCUAGCUUAAUAAUAAGUUAGUUUUCUUUCUUGCUAUGUCAUUUUGCCUUCGCCAAAUCCCUGAGCUAGGAUCUAUAUAUAUGAAAGUUUGGUUUGCUUGUUUGUUUGGUGUCAUGUGUCCACCCCGUUUGGAUUUUCAUGCCGCAUAUCUAGAUGCUAAUUCAAGUAUACGUAUAUAUGAAAAAUGUAUUCUAUCUGAGUCUCAUUUGUUUUAUUUAUCUAAUUUAGUAAAUAAAAUUAACUUAAUUAUUUUAUGUCACUGAUAUACUCAUCAUAUUUUUUUCCAAAAAAAAAAGAACUUACUCAAUAAUAUUAUUAUGUCUAAUAUUAAAAGUUAAGGCUUCAUAAUUUUGGUUUCUCUGUUUUGUCUUUUUUGGUGUCAUUUACUUGUUUCCUUCACUAUUGACGUAUCACUGUCCUCUGCCCCACAUUAAAAAUGCUAUGUAUUCAUGAGUUUUCCUUUACCUUGAUGUUUAGAUGUUGCGUUGAUAAAGAUUGAUCGGCCUAUGUUAAUUAGUUUACCUAUUAAUUUCUAUCUUAUCACUUUAUUUCAUUCUCAAAUAGUGCUAAGUCGGUGAUUUGUUUAUCGUUUUUGAUGUUAAACUCCUCUCGAGUACAUUUGGAUUCCAUUUCAAGUCCUUGCAUUUUCUUGAUGAGACUCAAUUGCUCAAACUAUGCCUUUCCGAGUCAUUGUAUCCGACGAAUAAGUCUUGGAGCCGAAAUUUGGAGUAGAUUGAAGAUCUGAAGGAAAAUAGGGCAAAAGGGCCCAUUUUAUGUUUUUUUUAUUUUGUUGUUAUUGGGUCUAAACCCAUAUAGUUAUUUUAAAUAUUGUUUCCUUA